rnacentral:rRNA from 1 species
CGGGACGGGUGGGUAAUGUCUGGGAAACUGCCCGAUGGAGGGGGAUAACUACUGGAAACGGUAGCUAAUGCCGCAUAACGUCGCAAGACCAAAGAGGGGGACCUUAGGGCCUCUUGCCAUCGGAUGUGCCCAGAUGGGAUUAGCUAGUAGGUGGGGUAACGGCUCACCUAGGCGACGAUCCCUAGCUGGUCUGAGAGGAUGACCAGCCACACUGGAACUGAGACACGGUCCAG